UACGGGGGGGGCAAGCGUUGUUCGGAAUUACUGGGCGUAAAGGGCUCGUAGGCGGCCAACUAAGUCAGACGUGAAAUCCCUCGGCUUAACCGGGGAACUGCGUCUGAUACUGGAUGGCUUGAGAUUGGGAGAGGGAUGCGGAAUUCCAGGUGUAGCGGUGAAAUGCGUAGAUAUCUGGAGGAACACCGGUGGCGAAGGCGGCAUCCUGGACCAGCACUGACGCUGAGUGAGCGAAAGCCAGGGGAGCAAACGGG
rnacentral:rRNA from 1 species